AUUGAACGCUGGCGGCAUGCCUUACACAUGCAAGUCGAACGGCAGCGGGCCCUUCGGGGUGCCGGCGAGUGGCGAACGGGUGAGUAAUGCAUCGGAACGUACCCGGGAGAGGGGGAUAACCGGCCGAAAGGCUGGCUAAUACCGCAUGAACUCGGAAGAGCAAAGCGGGGGACCUUCGGGCCUCGCGCUCUCGGGGCGGCCGACGUCCGAUUAGGCUAGUUGGUGGGGUAAAGGCCCACCAAGGCGACGAUCGGUAGCGGGUCUGAGAGGAGGAUCCGCCACACUGGGACUGAGACACGGCCCAGAGUCCUACGGGAGGCAGCAGUGGGGAAUCUUGGACAAUGGGCGCAAGCCUGAUCCAGCAAUGCCGCGUGGGUGAAGAAGGCCUUCGGGUUGUAAAGCCCUUUCGGCGGGGAAGAAAUCGGUCAGGCGAAUAGUCUGGCCGGAUGACGGUACCCGCAGAAGAAGCACCGGCUAACUACGUG
rnacentral:rRNA from 1 species